rnacentral:rRNA from 1 species
AGAGUUUGAUCCUGGCUCAGGAUAAACGCUGGCGGCGUGCUUUAUGCAUGCAAGUCGAACGAUUCUUCCCGCAAGGGAAGGAUAGUGGCAAAUGGGUGAGUAACGCGUAAGUAACCUGCCCUUAAGUAGGGGAUAACUCUGAGAAAUCGGAGCUAAUACCUUAUGUGGUGUUGGGGGUAAUGCUCCAUCACUAAAGCCUUCGGGCGCUUAGGGAGGGGCUUGCGUCCGAUUAGCUAGUUGGUAGAGUAAUGGCCUACCAAGGCGAUGAUCGGUAGCUGGUCUGAGAGGAUGGUCAGCCACACUGGGACUGAGACACGGCCCAGACUCCUACGGGAGGCAGCAGCAAGGAAUUUUGUGCAAUGGGCGAAAGCCUGACACAGCGACGCCGCGUGGGGGAUGAAGGCUUUCGGGUUGUAAACCCCUUUUCUCAGGGAGGAAUAAUGACAGUACCUGAGGAAUAAGUCAUGGCUAACUACGUGCCAGCAGCCGCGGUAA